UAUAUCGAAGAAGAGGGCUCCUGUCGGA
rnacentral:sRNA from 1 species